GGGCCGGAUAUGUGCUCUCAGAGCUGGGGGCAGGGGCAGGGAGCCCCUAUAAAAGCCCCCUCCCCCGCUUCUAUAGUCUCUGGGGGAGACUGUCCUGGCCUCAAAUAGGCCUGACCCCGCCCAGCCCUAAUGGCGGGGUUGAGCUUUGGGUGGACUAGUGGGGACAGGCUGACCUGGCAGAGGGGCUGAACAAAGACAGUCCUGGGGAAGAGGUUGCCAGCUGUAAAUUACCUGAGAUGGAAUUUGGCCAGGACGCACCUACAGAAAAACUCACCUCAGACCUUCCACUGCAGCUGAGUUCACAUCAUCUGCAGAUAGGGCGGCCAAUCCCAGCUAAAGACGUUCCGUGGGGCGAUACCUGCCGUGCCCUGUCCUCGCACUCAGCCAGCAGCGGCCCCUUCCCCUCAGCAGCAGGAGCAGCAAAACUCUUCCUGGUCCCUGGGGUCCCUUCAGAGAUGGCCCAGCAUUUCUCCAGUCCAUUUACAGAUGGCUCAAAUGGAUUUGCUCUCUGCUUCUCGGAUAUUACACCUCCUCUUCUUGGAUCAGACAGUGCUCCCCAGGACAUGCGGCCUUGGAGGGGCCUGGG